rnacentral:rRNA from 1 species
GGUGAACGCUGGCGGCGUGCUUAACACAUGCAAGUCGAACGAAGCACUAUGAAACAAUCCUUCGGGUGCGUUUCAUAGUGACUUAGUGGCGGACGGGUGAGUAACGCGUGGGUAACCUGCCGUAUGCAGGGGGACAACAGUUGGAAACGGCUGCUAAUACCGCAUAAGCGCACAGCUUCGCAUGAAGCAGUGUGAAGAGAUUUAUCGGCAUACGAUGGACCCGCGUCUGAUUAGCUUGUUGGUGGGGUAACGGCCUACCAAGGCGACGAUCAGUAGCCGACUUGAGAGAGUGAUCGGCCACAUUGGGACUGAGACACGGCCCAA